UGGGGAAUAUUGCACAAUGGAGGGAACUCUGAUGCAGCGACGCCGCGUGAGUGAUGAAGGACUUCGUUUCGUAAAACUCUGUUCUAUGGGAAGAAAAGGACUAUACCAUAGGAGAAAGCUCCGGCUAAAUACGUGCCAGCAGCCGCGGUAAUACGUAUGGAGCGAGCGUUGUCCGGAAUUAUUGGGCGUAAAGGGUGCGCAGGCGGCUUUACAAGUUGGAUGUGAAAUAUUGUGGCUCAACCACAAACGUGCAUCCAAAACUGCAAAGCUUGAGUUAAGGAGAGGUAAGUGGAAUUCCUGGUGUAGCGGUGGAAUGCGUAGAUAUCAGGAGGAAUACCGGUGGCGAAGGCGACUUACUGGACUUAAACUGACGCUCAGGCACGAAAGCGUGGGGAGCAAACAGG
rnacentral:rRNA from 1 species